AGUGACUAUGUUGCCACCAUCUUGGAGCUCCAUGCCCUCAUAGUGUAAUGGCACCAGCAGAUCUGCCUGUGCACAGACUUCCUGUACUACCUCACUCCUGAGGGGAGAUGCUUCUGCGGGCCUGCGACCUGGUGCUCAACUUUAGACACCAUCAUCCUGGAGCGGCACUGCACCCUCACUAGCCAGGGUGUUGACGUCCUCAAGGCCAAGGCCACAUUCAAGACUUUGGACUUCAUUGAUGCACUUGUGCCGAGCA
rnacentral:lncRNA from 1 species